UGUGUAUUGCAGCUCUGGGUCCUUCUCUCCUCCUGAGGGGGCUCCCCUGGUGACCCUGCUUUGCCCACUCGUUGUACCUGGGAUGUCUGAUGGGAUGUCCAUGUCCCCAGCCGUGCUCUGGCUGUGUGGGGUGGUGCUGAGGUGGCUCUCUGAUGGUACAUCUUUCCCUGCUGUUCACCUGGCACUUGCUGAGGGAUUUGCAGGGAGUGAAGGGAUGUCCACAGCAGAAAUGCAAAGCUCCUCAGCUUGCCCUAGGGUGGAGCUCUUUAUCCUGAGUAUGAAAUCGCGAGAUACCAAAUCAUGGGAGCAUGGGAAUUUUGUGCUAGCAAAAAUUUCUGGAAGACUCCUGGCAAAGUGAAGAAAUGUGCCUUGUAAUAAUCCUGGAGGCAGCAACUUCCAGUGGAUCUCCUUCCUUCAGGACUGCACCUUUUCCAUGGUUUCAGUCCUGCCUCAAGUGAACAUUGGCCUCACAUGUAGCAAUGUGCUGCUUGCUCAUCCCUUCCCUGUUUGCCUGCCCCUGCAAUUCCUGCUGGAGAGCUGAUGGUCUCUGAGCUGGCUGCUUCUCUCCAAGCACAAAUUUCCUACAAAUUUGGGAGAUCCCACAUUUGUGCCUAGAAAUUAUGCUGCUGUAUUGAUGAGUUGGAUGUGUCUGAAAAAUAAAUAUGU